rnacentral:rRNA from 2 species
AUCCUGGCUCAGGACGAACGCUGGCGGCGUGCCUAAUACAUGCAAGUCGAGCGGACAGAUGGGAGCUUGCUCCCUGAAGUCAGCGGCGGACGGGUGAGUAACACGUGGGCAACCUGCCUGUAAGACUGGGAUAACUCCGGGAAACCGGGGCUAAUACCGGAUAAUUCUUUCCCUCACAUGAGGGAAAGCUGAAAGAUGGUUUCGGCUAUCACUUACAGAUGGGCCCGCGGCGCAUUAGCUAGUUGGUGAGGUAACGGCUCACCAAGGCAACGAUGCGUAGCCGACCUGAGAGGGUGAUCGGCCACACUGGGACUGAGACACGGCCCAGACUCCUACGGGAGGCAGCAGUAGGGAAUCUUCCGCAAUGGACGAAAGUCUGACGGAGCAACGCCGCGUGAGUGAUGAAGGUUUUCGGAUCGUAAAACUCUGUUGUUAGGGAAGAACAAGUACCGGAGUAACUGCCGGUACCUUGACGGUACCUAACCAGAA